UUUUUUUUUUUUUUUUUUUUGAGAUAGGGUCUGGCUUUGUCGCCCAGGCUGGAAUGCAGUGGCAGGAUCGCAGCUCACCGCAACCACAGCCUCCCAGGCUCAAGCCACCCUCCCACUUUAGCCUCCUGAGCACCUGGGACUACAGGCACUUGCCACACCCGGCUAAUUUUCGUGAUUUUUGUAGAGGUGGGGUUUUGCUGUGCUGCCCAGGCUGGUCUCCAACUCCUGAGGUCAAGCGAUCCACCCGCCUCAGCCUCCCAAAGUCAGCAGUUCGAGACCAGUCUGGCCAAGAUGGUGAAACCUGUAUCUACUAAAAAUAACAAAAAACUAACCAGGUGUGGUGGCGGGAGCCUGUAAUCCCAGCUACACAGUCAGGAGGCUGAGGCAGGACAAUCACUUGAACCUGGGAGGUGGAGGUUGCAGUGAGCUAAGAUCGCACCACUUCACUCUAGCCUAGGCAACAGAGCGCAAGACUCCACCUCAGAAACAAAACAAAACAAAACAAAACAAACCCCAAAAACUAUGGAUAAUAAAGCAUGACAGACCUUAAGAUGCCAAAUGAUUUUCUCCUCUGCUGUCAUGCCCACAGAGUAACUUCUCCAAGGUCACACCUUAAAUACGGGCACAGAAACACUCAUUCCUUAUGCUCAAUGACUUUGUUUUCUCACUCCCACAUGCUAUCAACAGAAGGGGGAGCGCCCCAGGGGCCUGACCUUAGCUGAAGGAAUGGCAGGCUCUCCACUGAUCCCAUUCUUAACCUGUACCAGGUCUCACCUGCGGCUUGGGGAACUCACAGAAAGACAAGUUUCGUAUAACCCCGGACCUUUUCUUUUGGCAGCCAACAAUUGGUCACAUUGCAUAUUUCAAGGUUACAGAGGAGGCCCACCGUACACACGCGGGGCAGGAGCAGAUAAAUCUUGCUCGGAGCUUUACAAUAAAGCUACAGCGAGUGUUCCAGAAGUUGACUACAUCUGGAAGCAGGAAGACAAACUCUGGAAGAAGUACCCUAGAGACUCCAGGAACCCCUUAACUCCUGGGCUUUCGGGACUCUUCAGCGUGGGGUCUUUUUCUUAAACGUCGAGAGACCUCCUUUUCUGGACCAUAGUGAAGGGAUGUGCAGGUCAUCGGCUAAGCUGGGCGGGUCAGGGAGGGCAGGGGGAGUACAGUUCCUUCGGAUCUCAGCAGAGGUUAGACUAUCAAUGGCCAAGGGUUCAGAGGCAGGAAAAAAGGCCGUUUUUGGGGGGUUGGCUGGGGACACUCCCCUUCCCUCCUCUCUCCGAUUAAAUAUAAAAGCCGAUGAUGAUGAAGAUUGAGAAGACGAGGAAAAUGGCAGCCACGUCUCGGGUCUCCUCCCAGCGGAGGCCUUUCAGGGACGCAUUCUCCUGCCUUUUGCGAAGGGCCUCUCGCCGGGCCCUCAGGCGCCGUUCCCGCUCCAGUUGUUCCCCGUAGUGGGCCUGGUAGAAGGCGUCAAAGUUGAACAUCGUGCGGUUGGCGCCGGGGGCGGCCCGAGAACCGUAGUAGGUCUGAGAAGUGGGCGGCGGGGGACGCGGCGAGCCGGGGUCGGGUGCGGGCGUCCUGGAGGGCCGGACGCCGGGUCCGCGCAGGUCCUCGUCGCUGAGGAGGCCGCGAUCAUACUUACGACGGAGGGUGGCACUGCCCAGCACCACGUAGGCCUGGGAGACGCGCGUGAAGCGCUCGGCAGCCUCCGCGCUCCCAGAGUUGCGGUCCGGGUGGUAGAGAAAGCACUGACGGUAGUAAGCCGCCUUGAUUUGGGCCUGCGUGGCUGUGGAGGGGACGCCGAGCAGAUCAUAGAGCGCCGUGCGCGAGUACGAGCAGUCGCCCUGAGAAUAAGUCCUCGCUCCCAGGCCCAGGCCGGGUGUAGAAUUUAGUGGAAAGCCACGGGCUUGCAGCAACCUCCACGGUAACAGCCGCGGCCACCAUCCCCUGCGCAUGGCUGCCAUCUUGAAUU
ensembl:lncRNA